UUCGCUUCUUCCUGCGCCGCCGGGCGGGGAUCAGUCAGGAGUCAGGACUCAGGAGAGUAAUGGCGGAGGAGCACCACGGCGGCGGCGCCUCCCCGGUCCUCCGCGUGGAGGCCGAGUCCUCCUCCGAGCAGCGCGUCGCCUCGUCCCGGGGCGCCAUGUCGCGCGAGGACUGCGUCGAGGGCAUCCGCUCCGCGCUCAAACAUCCGACGGUGCGGUUCCUGAGGGAGGAGAUGGAGAAGGCCGGCUGCCAGGUCUGGCCGAGGCUCAUCCAGGCGGCCACCUGCUCCACCGCAGGCGGCUACGCCAGCCGGGAAGGGAUAAAAGUGUGCUGCAAUCACAUGAGACUUCAAGAUGAGAUAAAUCAGGUCAUUAUUCAUGAACUGAUUCAUGCUUAUGAUGACUGUGUUACCAAGAAUAUGAAUUGGAGGAAUUGCGCUCACCAUGCUUGCUCUGAGAUUCGAGCCAAUCACCUUAGUGGUGAUUGCCAUUACAAACGUGAAUUGUUGCGUGGUUUCAUGAAGAUAAGGGGUCAUGAGCAAUUGUAUCAGUCGUCACAAAGAUGUGUGCAUUGAGAAAGCUGUUGAAGAAGGAAGUGGAGAUGGAAGGAAAACGUGGACUGAUGGAAGGAAAAAUGUAUUUCGGUGAAGGUCCAGGACGGGAAUACUGGGAUUCUCUCGGUGGCCUUCAACACUGCUGCACAUUACAAACGUGGACUAUUCCGUGGCUACCUGGGCUGGAUAUAUGGGAUCACAAGCAAAUGAGCCCCUUUUGCUGACUUCCCAUGCAUCCCAUAAUGGCAUUUGCCUCUAGUGCGUCUCUAUCUUCUCUUUUCUUUUCCCUUUUUCUAUAUUCUAUUAUUACGCAUACGUGUCCUUAUGUUAUGAACUAUCCAGUUGUUGUUCAACCUAGCUUUUGUUUUUUUUUCUUUUGAAAAAACUAGGUAGGAGCACUGCUGAAUAGUUAACAGAAUAAAUGCUGGUUGCAACGGUCAAGCUUUUUUUUUUUGCAACGGUCAAGCAUAGUAUGCCAACGUUCCACUCAUGAUAUCGAGGUUUCUAGCUUCAGGAUUAUGAUUUCCCAGUUAAACUCCCUUUUACAGACCUUUCCAGUUAAACUGUUGUGUAGUUGAAAUCUGUCUCUUUGGCAGCUGCUGCAAUUCUGAAGGAAGUAUCAAGAGGCGAGUUCUGGUGUCUUUGCCCAUGCAGCGACUAACAGAUGAUCUAGAGAGGCAUGAUGCUGGGUAUCCUGAACCGACAUGCAAUCUAUGUGUUGCUGAUCCUGCUCGAGUUAACUGGAUGGUAUCUCAAGCUCAAGAUCCUGAUAUGGUUGCAGGCCGAUCUUGAGUCGAGAUCUCUAAAAUAUUGUAUACAGAAGUGAUCCUGGGGUGUUUGUUGGACAGAAAAGAGCAGCAUCAAAGAUUCAAAGUAUGAUCAUCCCGACAAUCACUAGCAAGCUAUCUGCGCUUUCACAAACUAUCAGGGUACUUAAAGUGGCAGUAGGCCUGCCGUUCUAGCGCUGCUGCCUCUUUUUCAGCUUAAAAACAGUCCUGAGGACAACCAAACCAAUCUUCAGAGGCCACUGGCAGCUAGGAGUAGAGAAACGAUCAGCCAAUAGCACGGCAAACUAUCCACUAUCCAAGCACAUUUGCACUACACUAGCAUGCAAAUAUAUCAGUAAGCAAAUCCAGGCUACGUUCAGAGGCCAUGAGCCUACUGAAGAACCUAGAACAGUUUAAACAAAAACCAUGCCUAGUGACACCUUUUGUGAAUUCAAAACCCCACACUGUUUACUACUUAAUAUCGGCCUCGGUGUUCGUGUGCGUGGUUUGCUCGGGCGAGUGGAGCUCACAUGAGCCGCCAAUAAACUAGCUCAUCAGCUCUUGGCCCCAAAAAGCCAUGGCAGGGCCGCGAGCUUAAACAAAAGGCGCGAGCUCCAGAAACAAUAGAUUCUUCUCAUGGGAUGCGUCCCUCUCUCGAAGGCCGAGGCCCGGGAGGGGGACAGGAUGGAGGUAUUAAAACUCGGAACCCUGCAUCGCCUAGAGCCAAAUCUCCUGUGUCUUUGACUUGCGAGCUGUGCUCCCAACUGUCUUUGACGAGCCGUGCCUCUAUAUAUCCCACACGGUCGUCACACACGCUUGCAGAUGCGAGGAGGUAGGUGAGGCCGUGAGAACGAACACAGGCGAGAAGCAGGAGAGCAUGGCGUUGCUUGGGGUAGUGAGGCUGGUGGCUUUGGUGUUCUUGGCAGUCUUCAGUGCAUCACUUCAUCAACAAGUAGGGGUUGGUGCUAUCAGGUUGCACGACAGAAAGCAGCACGCCCAGCAGUGGGCGGAGGAGAGGAAUCGGUUGAGGUCGUACAUGACCAUGGACUACCAUCCAUGGCACCGGCGCGUGCCGAAGCACAACUGAUUCAGCUGGUAGGACCAGGUAGCAUCAUCAGGAAGUCUGAUGACCGAUGCUCUCAGCUCUAUGUCCAUCCUUCAGGCUCCAGCAGCAUCCAUCGAAGCAUGAAGGCAGGAGAAACCUGGCUUUCUCAGUUUCUCUGAUGAUCUCAGCUCACUGUCCGUUCUUCAGGCUCCAGCAGCAUAAGCAGCUAAUGUCGAAGCAUGAUGACUGACGGGAGAAAAGCUGAUAGCUGGCGUGAUUCUUUUCCUUGCAGCUGUAUGUGUAUCUACGCGUCCAGCGUGCAGCACUACGCGCGCAAAUUUUGCCCCCUGACCAAAGGUUAUUGCUAGAAAUAUAUAUACCCAGUUAUAGUACUAGUAGUAGUAAUUAGUGUUUAGUCUCUCUGUUACAUCUUUGUAAUAAGUUUAAAGUCUUGUAGUUUGGGUUGGUAAAGUAGCAGCUUCUUCUGUAAGUUAAAUAGGAGCUAGACCGAAAUGUUCAGGCCUGGAAUUGCUUAUGUACUGAACAUGUCGACCAUAACGGAAUAAGUAAACUGAAGGAGCAUUUGCUGCAUUGUUCC